rnacentral:rRNA from 1 species
CAGCAGCCGCGGGAAUACGUAGGGUGCAAGCGUUAAUCGGAAUUACUGGGCGUAAAGCGUGCGCAGGCGGUUCGUUAAGACAGAUGUGAAAUCCCCGGGCUUAACCUGGGAACUGCAUUUGUGACUGGCGGGCUAGAGUAUGGCAGAGGGGGGUAGAAUUCCACGUGUAGCAGUGAAAUGCGUAGAGAUGUGGUGGAAUACCGAUGGCGAAGGCAGCCCCCCGGGCCAAUACUGACGCUCAUGCACGAAAGCGUGGGGAGCAAACAGGAUUAGAUACCCGGGUAGUCCCUGUCUCUUAUAC